rnacentral:rRNA from 1 species
AUAAUCUGUCUUAAUUAAAGAUAUUGAAUUUAACUUUUAAGUGAAAAGGCUUAAAUGAUCUGAAGGGACGAUAAGACCCUAUAAAACUUUAUAUUUAAGAGUAGAAAUUAGUUUUAUUUAAAGGUUACUAUUUUAUAAUAUUUGGUUGGGGCGACGGGGAUAGAAGAAAAAGUAACUGUCUUUUUUUUUUUACAAUAAUAUUUGGUUUAAUGAUCCUAAAAUGGAUUAAAGAUUAAGUUACUUUAGGGAUAACAGCGUAAUUUUCUUUAAGAGUUCUUAUCGACAGGAAAGUUUGCGACCUCGAUGUUGAAUUAAAGGUUCUUUAUAGAGUAGAAACUAUAACAGAAGGUCUGUU